rnacentral:rRNA from 1 species
UUCCCAACGCUUGGGCAACGGCCCAGCGAGAUAUGCCCUCCUCACUGUCGUGGCGCUACAAUCCGUGAUGAGAAUUCCUUCUCAGUUUGCCCGAAUGGGAUUAACGUGGAGGGCCGAUCACAGGGAGAAUCACCAAAGGUACAAUACCUAUUCCUACACCAGGCCUGGAAUGCCAACCGGGCCGCUAGGUUCCUCUUUGGGCCGGAAGGCCCUUUUGGUUGCAGGACCCGGUAAGCGGGAACCAACUCUGCGUCCCAUUCGGGCGGUUAAGUCCGGGGAAAAGGAGUUUUUCUUUUCUGUUUAAUAAGGGCGACCGUGACCCUAGAGCCUCACUUAUACGCCAGAGCGAAAGGGUGUUGUAACACGGUCUGACACGUAGAGCGACCGCAAAAGGUUUCUUGCAGGCGUCCCGGGGCAGUACCACUGCCGGUCCGUGAAACAUUUGCGAGGCAGGUAACUGCAUGGGGGCGAAGCGGGGGGGGUCUGCUGCUGAUGCCCCGCUGCCGGGCGUCGUUCUGCGGGCGUCACGGCGCGGCGCACGUACGCACGCGGCACUCGCGAUGCACCCCAGUUUCGGGGCCUGUGCGUACCCAUAUCCGCAGCCGGUCUCCAAGGUAAGAAGCCUCUGGUCGAUAGACUAAUGUAGGUAAGGGAAGUCGGCAAAUUAGAUUCCGUAACUUCGGGAUAAGGAUUGGCUCUGAGGAUCGGGCCAGUCGGGCCUGUGCGGGAAGCGGGCCUGGGUUCGGGCGCUGGACUGGGCUCAGAGGCUCUGAGAUGCGCGCGGUGAUGGGGUGAUGCCGUCUACCCUGCGGCGGCCCGACGUCGCCGGUGUCCGCCCAUCCGCUGUGUCUCGCCUUCCCCGGUGGCGGCGACCCAUUUCCAAAUGCGGCUUCGCGUCGCGCUGUCCUUGUUCUAUCAGCUCGCCGGUGCGGCGGUGCUUGUGGUCCGGGUUCGCAAAGGCGGGGGCGGACGACGAUCACCGCGUCGUUUGGGCCCCAAAAGCCCCGGCGCGGCGUCCUCGGUCGCUCCCGGUCCCACUCCGCCGUCCGCGCUAAAGCCGGCGCGCGCGGGGCAGCGCGCGUUGGGGAAUCACCGCAAGGGUUCGCGCAGCGCCGGUCUCGCAGGCGGAGACACGCUCCAUGCGAGGUGGGGCCAACGGCCCGGUGUGCGGCGGCUCGCUUCGUUGGUGCGGCUCUAGCCCUCUCGCCACUUCGUGCCGAGAGCUCGGAACCCGGCGUGUCUCCGGCCCUUCCGUGGAACGCGCUAGGCUGCGUGGGCGCGGGGGCUCCGGCUCUCUCUAUCGCCGGCUUUCGGCCGGUUAGGUAGCAGCAGCAGUCGUCCCUCGCUCCAAACCCACUUCGGCUGGCGCCCAGCGAUCAACUCAGAACUGGCAGGACCAGGGGAAUCCGACUGUCUAAUUAAAACAAAGCAUUGCGAUGGUCAGAGAUAGAUGUUGACGCAAUGUGAUUUCUGCCAGUGCUCUGAAUGUCAAAGUGAAGAGAUUCAAACCAAGCGGGGUAAACGGCGGGAGUAACUAUGACUCUCUUAAGGUAGCCAAAUGGCCUCGUCAUCUAAUUUAGUGACGCGCAUGAAUGGAUUAACGAGAUUCCCACUGUCCCUAUCUACUAUCUAGCGAACCCACAGGCAGGGAACGGGCCUGCGCCUAACAGCGGGGAAAGAAGACCCUGUUGAGCUUGACUCUAGUCUGAUUUUGUAGAGAGACAUCAGAGGUGUAGCAUAAGUGGAGGUCGUCACAUCAGGGGCUUGCUCCGUGCGGCCGACAAUGAAAAAUACCACUACUCUGAUCGUUUCUUUACUUACUCGGUGAGACGGAAUCGGAGCUUCCCCACGUGGGAUUGCCUCCUGUUUCUAGCCUAAAGCGGCGGAAGGGGGGCGCGCUUGGUUUCGGCCUUGCGUUAGCCUGACCGGGCGUUCGCGCCCGCCGCGAUCCGCUCCGAGGACAUUAUCAGGUGGGGAGUUUGACUGGGGCGGUACAUCUGUCAAACGAUAACGCAGGUGUCCUAAGGCCAGCUCAGCGUGGACAGAAACCUCGCGUAGAGCAAAAGGGCAAAUGCUGGCUUGAUCCUGAUUUUUCAGUACGAAUACGGACUGCGAAAGCAGGGCCUAUCGAUCCUUUUGACUUUAUGAGUUUUAAGCAAGAGGUGUCAGAAAAGUUACCACAGGGAUAACUGGCUUGUGGCGGCCAAGCGUUCAUAGCGACGUCGCUUUUUGAUCCUUCGAUGUCGGCUCUUCCUAUCAUUGUGAAGCAGAAUUCACCAAGCGUUGGAUUGUUCACCCAUAAAAAGGGAACGUGAGCUGGGUUUAGACCGUCGCGAGACAGGUUAGUUUUACCCUACUGUUGGCAGUUGUGUCGUUGAUACAGCAGUCGCUCAGUACGAGAGAACGGCAGGUCCGGACAUAUGGUUCCGCUCUUGGUCGAUCGGCCAGUGGAGCGAGGCUACGUCCGUGGGAUUAUGCCUGAAAGCCUCUAAGGCAGAAUCCCGGCUGGAUGACCAACGAUACCGCGUACGGCCUGCAUCGGGAUGGUCACCAUUGAAUUUUCGAGAGAUUCGCUCCCCGCUCGUUCGCGGGCGGGGCUAGAAGAUGGACCCGUGCAGAGGGAACUCGGGGAGUGCCUCGACAAACAGGUUCAGGCUCUCCCCUCCCUAGUAGAGAACACCCAGAUGC